GACGAACGCUGGCGGCGUGCCUAAUACAUGCAAGUAGGACGCAGUUGCGAACGGGUGAGUAACACGUAGGUAACUACCUAUUAGAGGGGGAUAACUAUUGGAAACGAUAGCUAAUACCGCAUACUAGUUGAUGGACCUGCGUUGUAUUAGCUAGUAGGUAGGGUAAUGGCCUACCUAGGCAACGCUACAUAGCCGACCUGAGAGGGUGGUCGGCCAAACUGGGAAUGAGACACGGCCCAGACGCCUACGGGAGGCAGCAGGAGGGAAUCUUCGGAAAUGGGGGGAACCCUGACCGAGCAACGCCGCGUGAGUUAAGAAGGUUUUCGGAUCGUAAAGCUUUGUUGUUAAGGAAGCGGUACUUAACCAGAAAGGGACGGCUAACUACGUGCCAGCAGCCGCGGUAAUAC
rnacentral:rRNA from 1 species